CAAAUCCGUCGGUCACCGAAUUCAGUAAUCUCCGUCUCUUUGUCCAUUCUCUCUGACAAGCAUGUUCUCCUAUGGGACACGAAGUACAUGAAGAGGAAUGAAGAAGCCCAUGUUUGAUGGUUGUCUCCAGGGUGGAGAAUUUAAUUUAUAAGUAAUGAAGUGGCAUCUGACACGUGACAAGCUGCUCCUGUUUGCACAGCAACUUCAACAUUGUGUACUGUGAUCACGGCAUAGUUCAGAGAACAAGGUGAUCCUCUCAAUUUUACACUCCUUUACUGAUGGUUCCAGUGCCAGAGAAAAACCCACCACCAUUAACCUAGACCUGCU